rnacentral:rRNA from 1 species
UACGGAGGGGGCUAGCGUUGUUCGGAAUUACUGGGCGUAAAGCGCACGUAGGCGGCUUUGCAAGUUAGAGGUGAAAGCCCGGGGCUCAACUCCGGAAUUGCCUUUAAAACUGCAUCGCUAGAAUUGUGGAGAGGUAAGUGGAAUUCCGAGUGUAGAGGUGAAAUUCGUAGAUAUUCGGAAGAACACCAGUGGCGAAGGCGACUUACUGGACAC